GCUGCAUCCUCUGAAGUCAACGUGCAUAUUACAGAAGUGUCUUGAAGAUGACGGAUGAUGGUGAAUGAUAGAAAAGAUGCAAAAGAUGAAUAUUUACAUUUUAUACAUCGUAAAAAGACUGUUCAAGUUUGACAGAAGAAAAAAUAGAUCUUACGGCUACUAGUUGGCAUUCAGAUCAAAUAAAUUUACAUUGAACCUA